GAGUUUGAUCCUGGCUCAGGACGAACGCUGGCGGCGUGCUUAACACAUGCAAGUCGAACGAAAAGACGGAAAGAGCUUGCUCUUUCCGGAAUUGAGUGGCAAACGGGUGAGUAACACGUAAACAACCUGCCUUCAGGAUGGGGACAACAGACGGAAACGACUGCUAAUACCGAAUAAGUUCCAAGGGCCGCAUGGCCCAUGGAAGAAAAGGUGGCCUCUACCUGUAAGCUAUCGCCUGAAGAGGGGUUUGCGUCUGAUUAGCUGGUUGGAGGGGUAACGGCCCACCAAGGCGACGAUCAGUAGCCGGUCUGAGAGGAUGAACGGCCACACUGGAACUGAGACACGGUCCAGACUCCUACGGGAGGCAGCAGUGGGGAAUCUUCCGCAAUGGGCGAAAGCCUGACGGAGCAACGCCGCGUGAGUGAUGACGGCCUUCGGGUUGUAAAACUCUGUGAUCCGGGACGAAAAGGCAGACUGCGAAAAACAGACAGCAUUGACGGUACCGGAAAAGCAAGCCACGGCUAACUACGUGCCAGCCGCCGCGGUAAUAC
rnacentral:rRNA from 1 species